CAAUAGCGUAUAUUCAAGUUGUUGCAGUUAAAAAGCUCGUAGUUGGAUUUCGGAUGGGAUUUGCCGGUCCGUCGUUACGAUGUGCACUGGCCAGUCCUAUCUUGUUGUCGGGGACUAGCUCCUUGGAUUCACUUCCUGGGACUAGGAGCUGACGAGGUUACUUUGAGUAAAUUAGAGUGUUCAAAGCAAGCCUACGCUCUGAAUACAUUAGCAUGGAAUAACACGAUAGGACUCUGGCUUAUCUUGUUGGUCUGUGAGACCAGAGUAAUGAUUAAGAGGGACAGUCGGGGACAUUCGUAUUUCAUUGUCAGAGGUGAAAUUCUUGGAUUUAUGAAAGACGAACUUCUGCGAAAGCAUUUGUCAAGGAUGUUUUCAUUAA
rnacentral:rRNA from 1 species